UUCUAAUCACGGCUUGGACUUUCUGGUGACCAGUGCCUAUCCAGGAACCAUGAAGAGUUGCCUAAGAGCAAGAGAUGCGGCCGGGCGCGGUGGCUCACGCCUGUAAUCCCAGCACUUUGGGAGGCCAAGGUGGGCAGAUCACCUCCUGAGGUCUGAACUUCGAGACCAGCCUGACCAACGUGGAGAAACCCCGUCUCUACUAAAAAUACAAAAUUAGCUGGGCAUGGUGGUGCAUGCCUGUAAUUCCAGCUACUCAGGAGGCUGAGGCAAGAGAAUCACUUGAACCCAGGAGGUGGAGGUUGCAGUGAGCAGAGAUUGUGCCAUUGCACUCCAGCCUGGGCAACAAGAGCAAAACUCCAUCUGAAAAAAAAAGAAAAAAAAAAGAACAAGAGAUCCUCCAGUCACCCAGGACAUUUCAAGGGAUUUAGGAGAUUUGUGCCAGGAACUGGCUUCAAAAACCAAAUAUUAGAACAAAAGAUUCUCCUAAUAUCUCUAUCUACAAGGGUUUUAGGAGCCUUAUGUCAGAAAUGGCGGAUAGAUUAUAUGCAUAGUCUUAUUAUUCACAGGGUUGAAUGUAUGUUUAUAGUAGAGGAGAAAUAUCUAUGGUUGGUGGUAGAAACCAAGGUGCUUAGCGUGCUCUGAGGCAGGAAAUGCAGGCUUUAAUAGCCUAUCCUGUUCCUUUCCUGAACACCCAAGCAAUGCAUCAGGUACAGAGCAAAACACCAUCUGGGUACAAAUGGCAAGUCCCUAACUUUCCUUUCUUUUCAUGAAUAGGGUAGGUGCACCCUUGAUUAGUUAACCAUACCCACAAAUCAAGUACCUAGAUAUGCAUUCGUUUCCUCUAAGGGCCAUCUCAAAGUACAGAGCUGCUCACCUCCCUUUAGAGAAUCCAGUUUAAAGAACACGUAUUGUAAUCCUGGAGAGCGUCCUAGAAACUCACAAAUAGGUGUAACUGAACACUUCUCCCAGGACUUACUGGAUUUGACAGAUCUAAUUCAAGAUUGUAGGAAACAUCUUUUCUCUAGCGGGUUGUUGUUGAAAAUUGAAACAAUUUCUCUAGUCUCACCAUAGUUUGAAAAAAAAUCCCCCUGAGGCGGCUCGAGGAGGUUUAACUAAAUUCACUCAGAAGUCUCAAAAUAACCACUGCUGUGAGGUGCACGUGCUCGCAUGCUUCCAGUGGCUAACACUGAAUUAACAAGCUGACUCCCUGCGGAGGCUGUGGCUAGUUGGCCAUGUAAGUUGAGUCCAAGGGACUCAUCUGAGCUGUUUCCAUAAAAGACAAACAGUCUUAUAAACAAAAUAAAUGAACCACACGAUAAACAUUUCUGGCCAGAAUCUGGAGCUUGAAUUUUUCUAAACAAUCUCUCAGGAAGGUAAUUUUCAGGUGAAGACAUGAUGACAACAUAUCCCCUUAAAAGUGACAAAAACAUAUGAACUAUUGGUCACUCUAUAUGAAUCCAUCAUUAUUUUUGGCCACAUCAGUAAAGAAACUAAAAACUUCAGAGGAACAAGAUGAUCUAAAGCUGGUGAGAAUAUUAGGAGUUUAAAUGAUUUUUUCAAUGUAAGAAACUGUUGGGAAAUGUACCUGGACAAUCACACGCGUGUAGAGACUCCAGCUGCACAUAUUCAAUCUGUCAUUAGAAGGAAGCCCUUCCAGACAGCACCCUCAUCAUCAAAUGAAAAAGCACCUCCCUGGGGCCCGUUCUCCGCUCUGUCUCACUGACGGGCCUGACGAUUUCUCCACGGUAGAAGCUAGACUAAGUUCUUAUCACCUGCCUCCCCAGAAGCUACCCCAGCACCUCAAGCGGCCAGGGCAUUCUGUGUUUCCCAAUUCCAGGAUUGUGUAUGGUUCAGCACAUCCACUAGGGACUAAGCCCUUUACAACAGCACUCACUGAGGGAGGCUGUGAACUGGGUAUGGUAAGAAAAAAACCCAUGUUUUUCUGUUUGUUUUGUUCCUUGGCCUUCAGCAUUCAUUUAUUUUCUGGGAAUCACAUUCAUCUUUUCCUCUGGGAAAAGAAAUGCACCUUGACUCUCAGCCCAUGUGCACCCAAGACUGGAGACUGAAUUGCUUCAAGGAUAACCAUAUGACUAGAUCAGAGCCAGUGAAUGCAAAGAUAGGCAUUCAGGGGGACCUGGGACUCUUGUUCCUUCCUGCUGGAUGCCAGGACCUCUACCAGAAUGACAGAAAUGAAAAAGAGUGACAACACCAAAUGCUGGUGAGGAUGCAGAGGAAUGGGAUCCUUCGGACACUGCUGGUGGAAACACGAAAUGGUGUAACCACUGUGGAAAACAGUUUAGCAGGUGGUUUUAAAAAGUACAUAACAUGUCAAUUG
rnacentral:lncRNA from 1 species